CGCCCGGUCGGUCGACCAGGACGCGCCGAGCACCUUGUGGUGGUACCUGGUGUGCGGUUCGAGGCCGUUCUCGGCGGCC
rnacentral:tRNA from 1 species